GCUGGAUAUCUGCAGCUCUGAUGCAGAAAUAACGUUCCAGUGUUUCAGUAACCACUUGUAGACCCUGCUUCAGGUAAAGUUUCUAUGACCUCAGAGCAGAAUAGGUGAAAAACAGAAGUCGGAAAAAUAAAAGUGGCUUCAUCACGAGGUUCCUGUAAACCCUUGCGAGCUCAUCUCUGAAGAAGUCAGGAAGAGAUCCGUUGAGCAGCCUCCUCCAGGGAGAGGAGGUCCUGAUUAGAAGCCGCCGUGACGACGACGACGACGACGAUGGCGGCGGUGCCUCCUGAAGCACGGCGCGCCCAGCAUAUCGGGGGCCAGAC
rnacentral:lncRNA from 1 species